CCUCAAUUUCUUUCCAUCCCCUCCUGUGCGCCUGCACCAUAUCCUUCCUAUACAGAGUUUUUGCUUGGCAGCAAGUCUCUCUGGUCCAUUCCAUGUUAAUUAUAUCACAGUCCUCACGAUUGCCAAGUGUUCCCAUCUGGCCACUGGGUCUUGAUGAUGAAACGAUGUUGUCUGCCAGGACCUCGAAGAGCUGAGAAUGACUGCCUUGACUCUGUGCAUGAAGGAUCGGAGGCCCAGAAAGGCAGACUUCCCAAAGGGGAAAAGGGGGCAGCUGUGGGCAUAACUCGUGUUCAAGGAGCAGGAAAGCAGGAUCGCAGUUCGGGCCCCGGCAGGCACUGUGCUGAGGUUGCCAGGGUUUGGCGUUUUCAGCUAAAGAGGCCGACCGAGCAAACCAGCGAAGACGCUUUGCAUCCCCUCCGGCGGAGCAUCCUGCCCUCGUGCAUAAACACAGUAACAUAGUCCCCGCGGCCGCCCGCCGUUCUCCGCAGCUCUCCCGGCCGGCCAGGAGCCCGAGUUCUGCGGCCCGUUCUCAUCUAAACGAUGCUCAUCAUAGAAGAGUUUUCAAUCCAGGUAAAUAUCAUCCCCUCCCAGCGUCACAUCCACACGCCUGCGCUCGCUCCCUCUUUCUUCCUUUCCUUAGAUUCCUCACGCCCACUCGCGGGAGAUGCUCCUGGUGGGGAUCGCAGCUUUGCUCCUCAGUGAACGAUAACAGCGCCCAACGCCUCUCCUGCAAAGCCCUCCGCGACUUGCAAAGGUGGGAAUAAAUCAGAGCAGGGAAGAGACGCUGCAGGAAGCCAGAAGCUAAAUGCUACAUCUUGUCGCAGGAGGCCAGGGGGAGCGGGAGCCUGCCUUUCCUGGCAGCCAAUUUCUUCCUGCUCGUUACCUCUGCCGGCCGCAGCCCGUUAGAACAGUCAUUCCGGAUCUGCUGGAAGCUGUCACCCCUCUCCUUCCUGCCGUGGCAGCUGGUGUGGGAGGCCGCAGACUGCCCAGUCCCUUCCAGAGUCUUCACACACACACACACACACACACACACACAAUGAAGCUUAAUUUGUUACAAAAGAAAAAAAAUAAAGUGGCAGCUUACCCUCAGGCUCAGAGCAUGCAUGGGGUGGGAGUGGGGGAGGGGGGGGGAGCAAAGAUAGAUGCCUGCAGGUAGCCUACCGCAGACACGGAUUCCGCUCCCUCUGCCGCACCCCCCCCUCCCCCCGACACACACACCGCAUGUACCACAUUCAUCAUGCCGGAUGGGGAGACAGUUCAAAAACUUCAGCAGUUUUCCAACAAAGAUGCACCGUUUAAAAAAGACAAUAACACAACUUCAUUUUGUGUCGCUUUCUUUGUACCAGCAGUGAAUCUGAAAAAUGUGCUAUGGAUGUGAGUGUAAAUAAUUAACGCCCGGGUAGGGACAGGAGGGAGAGUCGGGAAUAGACACGGGAAUAGACACGCAUAAGCAGAGGGGGAUCCUCUUUCCCUCCCUGUGACCUUCCCCAGAUCGCAGGGCCUGGGCCAGGCCUCCCCAUUCAUCACAGGCUCAGUUAGCUCUGCCCUGGCUCCUGGACCAAUUCAGACAGCAGAUGGGCGGCCCUGAAAUAGCUCGGUCCUUUCACCCCGUGGGAUGUAAUAUGCAGGCUUCCCAGACCCAAGAGUCCCGUGAUGUCCCUGGGCCCCUGGGCCCUCUGUCUUGGUUCUCACUGCCCGGCUAUCCUCAAAUGAGUCCGGGGAUCUCUGCCUCUGACACCCAGGCCUGCAGCUUGUACCCUGAUACCCUGAUUCUUGAAGCUUCCUGUUGAUGACACUGGCCACUCUCAAUCCAACAUGCUGCCCACCCCGGAUUUCCCGGGUCCGCUUUCCUUCCUGGGAUGUGCCUGUCCUUCUUGGAAGCCCUAAUGUCCACUCUUGCCUGACCAGGUCCUCUUCUUUGUCUCGCAUGCCCAGCUGCUGUGUGCCCUAGCCCCAUCCUGGCCCUCAACCUGCUGUAGUUUAGAAUGUCUGUGCCAGACCCCUUCUCCUGUUUUCUGUCUAUACUGGAUUCCUACCAUACCCCAAAGUUUGAAGCAAUAAAUGAGUAAAAGGGGAGAGGAGAUUCCUAGAACUCAGUGGAGUAGGGGUGUGGCCAAAGGUACCGAGCACUAGAAAAGGACAUGAUGGCGGACUGCAGGGUCUUGGUGCAUAGUCCUAAAAGCCUGAACCCCAAAGUGACUGAGACAGGGGAUGGUGCGUUGAGGGGUGGCAGGGGUGGCCAUAAACUUCUGAAAAACCUCUAGUCAUUGGGAGACAAGCCAGGCUUCCUAGUCACAGACACAAUGACAAAUUGGACCUGCUCUUCCUGGUUCCAGAAAACCAGGUGUCCAAAAUGUAUGGGGUGGGUAUAGAGAGCCCUCUGCUAGGAUGAACUUGGAAAGCACCACCCACUGAGGAAGAUCUCUUUGUCCCAUGCUAACUUGAGGAACCGUCCCUUGCCUCUCAGAGCAAAAAUCUACCAAGAAUGGUUUCAUAUUGUGAACUAUGUCAGGUGCAUACAAAAUUGCAGCAUCUGUAAUACAAUUUAAAAAUUCAGUUUAAGAAAUAAAUAUCACUGAGAGCACCUGUGUCCUUACUCUCAUUCCUCUUAUCAGAAAUAACCAGUGUUCUGAAUUUGGGGCUUGUAAUUUAAUCCCUGAACAUUUCUGUAUACUUGUAUGCAUGUGAUUAUAUGUGUGUGUAUGAGUAAAUAGUAUUUUGCAUAUUUCAUAGUCUUAUUUGAGUAGUUCCACACUACAUGUAUUCAUCUAUAACUUUUUUUUUUCCUUAGUGUGAUUGUGAGGCUUAUUCAUGUUUCAAUUCUGAGAUUGG